UUCUUCUCUUGGCUGUUGCUGGUGUAUCUCUCUGUGUGAACGUCUUCUUCACAGUCUGCAUAGCGUUGCUUUGGAGAGCCAGACAGCAUGUGAAGCCGAAAGAAGAGGACAGAACGUACAUGUCAGUGAAUCGUAGAGACAUGUCUCCAGAAUAUGAUGUCAUUGCCCAAACAACUCCAAAAUGACGAUGUACACUUCCACUGAUGAUGAUCUUGAUAAGUAUCAGAUAACUUUACUUAAGUAUUUCUUGUCAUUAUUAUAUUGAGGCAAACAAGAAAAGUGAUAUGAGUGUUUGUAAAUACAUUUUCUACAGGGUGGUGGGCACAAAACCAAUUUUCAACUUAACAAAUACUUCCUCUAUAAAGUGUGUAAUGCUCCUUUUGGGUUCAAAGUUCAUCAGAGGUGAUUUUUUGUUUUUUUGUUUUACUUUUGUUGAUGUUAAAGCUCUCCUGAUCAAGAGCAGUACAUUUUAUUUGAAACAAAAAGCAAAUUUUUUGAAUGAGGAGAUGUCCGAGUCUUUCUCAUGACUGGCUUCAUGGGAAGUGACAGAAGAGUGUGAAGCCAAUUAAGAGGACAAAGGACAAACUUCAGACCAUCCUGCCAAGAAGAAUGACAGCACUCGUAGAGGCUGUGGUAAUUAUGGUGGGAGUGAAAUGGAAAUUAUUCAUAUAAUCAAAAAGGUAAUCAACAAUAUAAUAUAAAUUAAAAUAAAUAUUUUUAACCUAUGUAAUGGAAACUUUUAGGCCUCUGUACUAUGUGCCACUAAGCAGAAAGAAUGUGAAGUAACUUUACAUUUUAUGUCUUGUCAGGAUAUCACAAGCACAAGUGCCUUACAUGACGUUUACUCUUUGUCAGUGUGUAACAAGCUGUGAGUGCUUUACUUGAUGUCCGAGGACAUGACUAGAUAAGAUGACCCAAACUGCUUUGUCACCUCUCUGACGAUGCUUGUUAAAGACCCCUGACCUCAGCUGUUGUGUAUAAGUAUCUGACAUCUCCUGUAUUCAGGGCUCACUCUUUGCACUCUGCUCCUUCUUGACUGUUUGUUGUGAUUCCAUCUGCAGAUGCUGAAUUAAACUUACAGUAAGACAAG